GUGCAUGACUGGGGGGGAUAUGAAGCUCACAGAUGAUAGAAAACUGGGAGGAGCGGUUGACUCUGGCCAGGAGGCCCUGCAGAGAGGGCUGGGCAGCCACCAACCACGUGAAGUGUAAGAUAUUUUCUCACAGCCACAGUGGCAGAUCACAGACCUUGUCAAGAAGGAAGAUCCAAAAGUACCCAAUUCUGUCCUUGGAUAAAAGCUAUGUCAUUACUUCAAACAAUAACCUCUGAUGCAAAGGCAGGAGUGAGUCACCUCCAAGGGGCUCUCUGAAGAGGUAAUACACUGAAGGCACAGAAAUUACUUCAGCUUUUCCUCAGAAAUAUGACAGAAUUAGGUUCAUGGAAGCCCUCUCUCCAGCCAAGGGCUGCACAUCUUACCCUUACCAACACGGCACUCCAGCUUGUUCCAGCCCCAAUGGCUGCUGGCUGUCACAUUUGACAUGAGUCACCAAGUCUUCUGUUCAUCAGCAUCCCUUGAGUCACGUAUCACCUGUACAGCAUUUCUUGUACAUGUGAUGGUGCCCAGAGACAUUAAGUGCCUGUACUGACAGCUGCUUUUUCUGCACCCAGAGUAAAAGUCAGAAGAGGAAGGAAAAAGAGUAAAACCCACAGCCACUGACAGCUGCUGUCAGAAUUUAACUUUCAGCAUUUACCAUGAUAGUGGGGUUGGGGAUCAAUGUUUCUCACACUUUUUCUGCAUCCCCUAAAAUGAGGGACUGAGCCUUGCAAGGCGUGUCCCCCUCUAGCCUCCCUUUGCACUAAAUUGAUGCUACUCCAGUGUGUAGUC